UACGGGGGGGGCAAGCGUUGUUCGGAAUUACUGGGCGUAAAGGGCUCGUAGGUGGCCAACUAAGUCAGACGUGAAAUCCCUCGGCUUAACCGGGGAACUGCGUCUGAUACUGGAUGGCUAGAGUUUGGGAGAGGGAUGCGGAAUUCCAGGUGUAGCGGUGAAAUGCGUAGAUAUCUGGAGGAACACCGGUGGCGAAGGCGGCAUCCUGGACCGGUAUUGACGCUGAGGCGCGAAAGCUAGGGGAGCAAACGGG
rnacentral:rRNA from 1 species